CGGGCCGGGGAAAGUGGGUAAGAAAAGGGACCGCGCUCCCGACCCCCGGAGGACCCCCGCGUCCAGCCCAGCCCGUCGGUACUUGUCCUUCCCCUCCCGAGGGAGAGGCCUCUUCGACCCGAGGCCUCAACCAUCACUUUACCCCUGAGCCAGAAACCGGGCUCACAUCUAGGAGUGUUUGGAUUGUGAGCAAUUUAAGCUGUAUCCUCAGGAUCCAUUAUUUUAACAUCUGGGAGAAACACAUCCAGAAGAUACACACUAGAUUGAAGGAGGAGUGGGGAAUCUGAAGACUCCAAAUGGCAUCAGAGCUACUUUUCAACAGCCUUCUCAGUUUCCUUUCUCAGAAAGCAGAGACUCAAUCCUUGGAGACGGAUGAACACUGAUAUUUGCAUUUAUUGUGGAACAAAAGGUGAAGAAGGAGAAGCAGGAUAUUCACUAAGGAUUCUAUCUGCUUGCUGCUGCAGACCUGUGUGUUGAGGAAUUCUGCUGCUGCUUCUUGCUUGGGAGUUAUCAACUCUGCAGUCAGGCUGCGUUGGGAGCCUGCCUGCCUUUUGUCUCGUCAUUGCCAACCAGCAGACCAAUCCCGGUCGGAACGGAACAGUACACCUCUGUCUAAUUACUAUGGAAGAUGUCAUGAGGAAGCUGCUGAACUAGCAAUUGGUUGUUUAACACCUUCUUAUGCAUCAGACAACAACUGUGAGUAGCCCAUGAAUGAUAUUCUUUUUUAAUCAUAAAUAAUAGGCAUAAAUUAAAAUGUGAAUCUCCACCCACAAUGGAUUAAUGCAUUGCUGCCUUUAUUAGGGUACUUUAUUUUGCUUUUCAGAAGUCAGCGUACAUAACACGUUUUUUUAAAGUCCAAAUUGUUAAAUAAUAACUCCUUAAAGGAUAAUUAUUGAAUCAAAGAACCUAAUACUGAUUCAUUUUUUCAGUUCAAAAACAAAUUAGAAAAAAAAUAUGCUUACAUUUUUCACUUUUGCUAAAAAAAAAAAAAGAAAGAAAACACAUUUAUUUUUAAUUCUUGGAAGGGGUUUUGUGGUUCCUCAAUGUGUCUGCCCCACCCCAAUCCUUUUCAAUAUACUAUAUUUCUUUAAACCUUGUACUACUUAGUAAACAUUGAUUACAAUUGAUGGAAGUUUGAUAGAUCUUUAAAAAAAAGGCAGAUUUCCAUUUUUGUAUUUUAACUACUUUACUAAAUUAAUAUUCCUCCUUUUACAGAAUUAGGAAAGUUAACAUGUAUCUUCAGGUGGUUUCCUGAAUAGUUGAAAUAAGAAGUUGUUUUUAACAAGCAAAAUGGCUUUUCUUUGGACAGUUUUCACCAUCUCUUGUAAAAGCUACUUCUCACCGUUUCUGUGGUACCUGUGAGUCUUAUGACCAGGGUUUCUUAAAGUUGGACUCAGACCACCUGCAUUAGAAUCAUCUGGAGCACUUGUUUUAAAAUGCAGAUUCCUAGGCAGCAUCUCAGAUCUACAGAACAAGAAUCUCUGCUAAGUGGACCUGGGAAUCUUCCUUCUGCAUCUUAAUAUACUCCCUAGGUGUUUCUUCUGCACACUGAAAUUUGAAUUUUGAAAAUUGAAACCAUUGCCUAUGACUUCUCUCAACACAGGAUUGUGAACAAACUAUUUGAUGCCUGUAUUUUCCCCAGUACAGUCACACAUCAACUCAAAAUUUGCAAUAUUGUACUUCAUAUAUUACUGCUAUAACUUUGGAAAUCGGGUUCAGAAUACUUUUUAUGACAAAAAAAAAUCGGGUGGAGGGGACAACUUUCAUAUUUGGCUCAACAUCUCAGGAAAAUCUAUGAUUAUUUGUGUGUUCUAAUGAGUAACAUCUACUCAAUUAGCCUUAGGGAUGGAAUAACAGGGCCACUUACCAAACUCAGGUGAUUCCAGGAUGGUUUGGCGACUCCUCCUGAAUACAUCCUUAACUUCUAUUAAAACCAUUGUCCUAAGAACAGUGCUGACAAAGAUGAAAACAUUUAUUUCAAACCCAAGAAAGGCACUAAACUCAGAUUGACUAAACAAAAAAGUACGAAGGGCACAUAUACAUGACAGAUUUGUACACAGUCACUCCAUCGGAUCUGUUAUUUUAAAAUAGUGAUUAAAAGUAAACAUUGAUGUUUUCUUGGAAGAACUUAAUGUAUUAUCGAGCCGCAUGGGGUUUCUAUCUUGAAACAAGUCCAUGCUUUUCAGUUCAGUUUUUACAAUCCACAAUUCUUUCACCAGUUAUUUUUGGGUUUAAUUGUGAGCUGAGUUAGCAACUGACCUAUCAAAAAAUUGUUAUAUAAUCGACUGUUAAUUAGAAGGAAAUCUAUUUGAAAUUGUUCUACUUGAGGUUGUUUCUAAGAUUUUUAUAUUAAAAAUGGGCGUUAUUUCCUAAUAUGAUCUAAAACCCUAAAUGAUUAUUUUUUUCUCAAAAUAAUUUGUAAAUAGUUACUGGAUAUAUUAUAAAAUAAUAGGAGCGAAUAUUAUGCUACAUCAUGAAAAUUCCACGGGCCAGUGAAGAUAUUCAACUCCAUCCCAUCUUUAUUCUGUGACAAUCUUAUUGUCUACACUGUAUAAAUAAGCUUUUAACCAAGUCAUUUUUUUCUGCCGUUGUGAAAGGUCUGGAGCCUUAGAAGUAUGCUAGAAAAAAAUAUUGAUAUUCCCCCUUGGUUAGGGGAAAAUGGGCUUUUACAAGGGGGUGAAACUUAGGUCAGGAAAAAGAACAUCAAGGGCCAGCUUUGCUUUUUUUGUUUGUUUCUUUGGUUGGUCAUUUGUUUUGUUGUUGUUGUUACUGUUGUCAGCAGUCAAAGAAACGAAGGUAUGUCAUAUAUAAAUAAACAUGACCACAGAGAAACCUGUUCUGAUUUACUGGAGUGUCCCCAAUUUGAGUUUAGUAUGAUUUUAAAGAAGAGCGGUGAGAAAGGGCCUACAUCCAUAAAUGCAGUUCAUUUAUGCAUAUGUAGAUACAAGGAUGCACAUAUACACAUUUUCAAGGACUAUUUUAGAUAGCUAGACAAUUUCUUCCUAAUAAAGUCAUUUGUGAAAGGGUACUACAGCUCUCAUUGACAUCAGUAAGGUAGCAUUACCUGUUUAUUCUCUGCUGCAUCUUACAGAAGAGUAAACUGGUGAGAGUAUAUAUUUUAUAUAUAUAUAUAUAUAUAUAAUAUGUAUAUAUAUAUAUAUAUUGACUUGUUACAUGAAGAUGUUAAAAUUGGUUUUUAAAGGUGAUGUAAAUAGUGAUUUCCUUAAUGAAAAAUACAUAUUUUGUAUUGUUCUAAUACAACAGAAAAGCCUUUUAAUCUCUUUGGUUUCUGUAUAUUCCAUGUAUAAGUGUAAAUAUAAUCGGACAGGUUUAAAAAUUGUGCAUGUGUGUAUACAGUUGCAAGUCUGGACAAAUGUAUAGAGUAAGCCUUUUAUUUAAGUUGUGAUUACCUGCUGCAUGAAAAGUGCAUGGGGGACCCUGUGCAUCUGUGCAUUUGGCAAAAUGUCUUAAGCAGUCAGAUCAGAUAUUCAUCCCAACAUAACAGUAUUCCAUUUCUGGACAUGACUUCCGUGGUUUAAGCUUUGUGAAAGAAUGUGCUUUGAAUCCAAGGGUCUUAAAACUUUUUAAAUCAAGUCAACCACUUUUCAACAUAAAGAAUUCACACAACUACUUUCAUGAAUUUUUUAAUCCCAUUGGAAGCAUAAUAAUAUACCAGGAGUAUUCCAGUGUACUGGAGUACAGGCACAUUACCAUUCAUGGUAUGAAUUCUGGGGUUUACACAACCAAUUUUGAUGCGAUAUGCUCAGUAAUAUAAUUUGUCAUUUUUAUUAGAAAUUUAAUUUCUUCAUGUGAUGUCAUGAAACUGUACAUACUGCAGUGUGAACUUUUUGUUGUGUUUUUUAAUCUUUUAGUGUUUACUUCCUGCAGUGAAUUUGAAUAAAUGAGGAAAAAAAUGCAUUGUCUCUGGUUUGAAAUGAUUGUUAUUUUCUGGGCUGUCUCCGAUUUUCAGGUUUUCCAUAAACAUAAAAGUCUCUGGUCAUGAAAAUAACAAGCCUUCAAGAAUGCUUUGCCCUUCUCAGAAAAAUAAAGGGAAAAAAAAGAAGGUGGCCUGCGAGUUAGUAUUAUCUAGAGACAGGGCAAUUGAAGCAUAGCUCAGAAAGACAAUGAGCCUAUAUAGCCUCUUCUACCCAUCCUUGAUUCUAUUGCUUGGUGUGUAACUGGGUGGCCAUCAUGGAUUUUUGAAGUGGGAAAAAGUUUGUACAGUGUUCAAAAAUAAA